UAAGCAUAUCAAUAAGCGGAGGAAAAGAAACCAACAGGGAUUGCCUCAGUAACGGCGAGUGAAGCGGCAAAAGCUCAAAUUUGAAAUCUGGCCUCCUUGGGGGUCCGAGUUGUAAUUUGAAGAGGAUGCUUCGGGUGCGGCCACGGCGCAAGUCCCUUGGAACAGGGCGUCGCAGAGGGUGAGAAUCCCGUCUCGAGCCGUCGGACCCGCGCCCAUGUGAAGCUCCUUCGACGAGUCGAGUUGUUUGGGAAUGCAGCUCUAAGCGGGUGGUAAAUUUCAUCUAAAGCUAAAUAUUGGCCGGAGACCGAUAGCGAACAAGUAGAGUGAUCGAAAGGUUAAAAGCACCUUGAAAAGGGAGUUAAAUAGCACGUGAAAUUGUUGAAAGGGAAGCGCUUGCGACCAGACUCGGGGGCAGGGUUCAGCGGCCAUUCGUGGCCGUGUACUCCCUGUUUCCCGGGCCAGCAUCGGUUCCCGCGGUCGGUCAAAGGCCUCCGGAAUGUGUCGUCCCUCGGGACGUCUUAUAGCCGGGGGUGCAAUGCGGCCAGCGGGGACCGAGGAACGCGCUUCGGCUCGGAUGCUGGCGUAAUGGUCGUAAGCGGCCCGUCUUGAAACACGGACCAAGGAGUCUAACAUCCACGCGAGUGUUCGGGUGUCAAACCCGUGCGCGCAGUGAAAGCGAACGGAGGUGAGAGCCCUUUUGGGUGCAUCAUCGACCGAUCCUGAAGUCUUCGGAUGGAUUUGAGUAGGAGCGUGGCUGUUGGGACCCGAAAGAUGGUGAACUAUGCCUGAAUAGGGUGAAGCCAGAGGAAACUCUGGUGGAGGCUCGCAGCGGUUCUGACGUGCAAAUCGAUCGUCAAAUUUGGGCAUAGGGGCGAAAGACUAAUCGAACCAUCUAGUA
rnacentral:rRNA from 1 species